rnacentral:rRNA from 1 species
AGGACGAACGCUGGCGGCACGCUUAACACAUGCAAGUCGAACGGAGUACAUAGGAGCUUGCUUCGAUGUACUUAGUGGCGGACGGGUGAGUAACACGUGAGCAACCUGCCUUUGAGAACGGAAUAGCUUCUGGAAACGGAUGGUAAUACCGUAUAACAUUACUGAAUCGCAUGGUUUGGUAAUCAAAGAUUUAUCGCUCAAAGAUGGGCUCGCGUCUGAUUAGAUAGUUGUGGGGUAACGGCCUACCAAGUCGACGAUCAGUAGCCGGACUGAGAGGUUGAACGGCCACAUUGGGACUGAGACACGGCCCAGACUCCUACGGGAGGCAGCAGUGGGGAAUAUUGCACAAUGGGCGGAAGCCUGAUGCCAGCGAUGCCGCGUGGAGGAAGAAGGUUUUCGGAUUGUAAACUCCUGAUCUGAGGGACGAUAGUGACGGUACCUCAGGAGAAAGCUCCGGCUAACUACGUGCCAGCCGCCGC